rnacentral:tRNA from 1 species
GCUGCCAAGAGGACUCAGGCCUUCCAAGCCUGUAGCGCGGGUUCAAAUCCCGCCGGCCGCA